rnacentral:rRNA from 1 species
GAUUAAGCCAUGCAUGUGUAAGUAUAAAUAAUUUUACUUUGAAACUGCGAAUGGCUCAUUAUAUCAGUUAUAGUUUAUUAGAAAUAUUUUACUACUUGGAUAACCGUAGUAAUUCUAGGGCUAAUACAUGAAUAAAACCUCAACUUCGGAAGAGGUGUGUUUAUUAGUAUGAAAACCAUAUAUCUUCGGAUAUAAUAGUGAGUAAUAAUAACCUUUCAUAUCGUAUGUCGUAAGAUAACGAUAGUUCUUUCAAGUUUCUGCCCUAUCAGCUUUCGAUGGUAGUAUAUGGGACUACCAUG